AUUGAACGCUGGCGGCAGGCUUAACACAUGCAAGUCGAGCGGGGGAAGGUAGCUUGCUACCGGACCUAGCGGCGGACGGGUGAGUAAUGCUUAGGAAUCUGCCUAUUAGUGGGGGACAACAUCUCGAAAGGGAUGCUAAUACCGCAUACGUCCUAUGGGAGAAAGCAGGGGAUCUUCGGACCUUGCGCUAAUAGAUGAGCCUAAGUCGGAUUAGCUAGUUGGUGGGGUAAAGGCCUACCAAGGCGACGAUCUGUAGCGGGUCUGAGAGGAUGAUCCGCCCAGCUGGGACUGAGACACGGCCCAGACUCCUACGGGAGGCAGCAGUGGGGAAUAUUGGACAAUGGGGGGAACCCUGAUCCAGCCAUGCCGCGUGUGUGAAGAAGGCCUUAUGGUUGGAAAGCACUUUAAGCGAGGAGGAGGCUACUUUAGUUAAUACCUAGAGAUAGUGGACGUUACUCGCAGAAUAAGCACCGGCUAACUCUGUGCCAGCCGCCGCCGUAA
rnacentral:rRNA from 1 species